rnacentral:rRNA from 1 species
AGAGUUUGAUCCUGGCUCAGGAUGAACGCUAGCGGCAGGCCUAAUACAUGCAAGUCGAGCGGCAAGUCGAGGAGUAAUCUGAGACCUAGAGCGGCGUACGGGUGCGUAACGCGUAUGCAACCUACCUCAUACAGGGGGAUAGCCCGGAGAAAUCUGGAUUAAUACCCCAUGGCACAGCACAAGGGCAUCUGCGAGCUGUUAAAGAUUCAUCGGUAUGAGAUGGGCAUGCGUCUGAUUAGCUAGUUGGCGGUGUAACGGACCACCAAGGCGACGAUCAGUAGGGGUUCUGAGAGGAAGGUCCCCCACACUGGCACUGAGAUACGGGCCAGACUCCUACGGGAGGCAGCAGUAGGGAAUAUUGGGCAAUGGACGAGAGUCUGACCCAGCCAUGCCGCGUGCAGGAAGACGGCGUUCUGCGUUGUAAACUGCUUUUAUCUGGGAAGAAAAAGUCCAUGCGUGGAAAAUUGCCGGUACCAGAUGAAUAAGCACCGGCUAACUCCGUGCCAGCAGCCGCGGUAAUAC